rnacentral:lncRNA from 1 species
GGAAGAUACUUGAAUCACAGGACUGAAUAAGGAAGAGCUGCCCUCAGCGUGGCCGGGCAACAUCUAAUCGGCUGAAAGCUUGGAUCGAAUGAAAAGGCAGAGGAAAGGUUCUGAAGACCUCAAAUGGACUGAGCCACACUACCAGCAUCCAGCAUCCAUGGUUCUCCAGUCUGCAGAUGGCCUAUUAUGGGACUUUUCAGUCUUCAUAAUUAUAUGAGAGAAAGAAAAUGAAAAGGAUUUGUAAACUAUAAAUCUCUAAACAGAUGGGAGGAAAGGAAUUGAUGAAACAAUAAAUUUAUUGAUGAAACAAUAAAAAUAAACAUAAAGAACCAAAGUUAUUCUCACAAUCACCACUCCUAACUUUUGAUGCUCCUGUCCAGAAAACUGAGCAAAAGAGUGGCUGAAGAAUAGGAAUGAUGAAGAGAAGAAGUAAAAACACCUGGUCCCUGAUAUUCUGUUCAUAUUUUUUCAGCCUAUUUUCUCUCUCAUUCAAAUUGAGUGAAAUUCUAUUUCUGUGUCCUCAAGUUUACUGAUUCUAUCCUCUGUCAUCUCCAC